CAUUGCGAAAACUUCCCCACGGCUACUGCGUCCACGUGGCGGUGGCGUGGGGACUCCCUGAAAGCAGAGCGGCAGGGCGCCCGGAAGUCGUGAGUCGAGUCUUCCCGGGCUAAUCCAUGCCGGGUUGGAGGCUGCUGACGCAGGGUAACGACUAACAGUUUAAAUGUGAGCCUUAUCCGAAGGAAUGUGGGGAGUGAGGAAAAGGUUGGAGACCUGAAAAAAAGAACACACAUCUGGCUUUUUGUUAGAGGUCUUCAUGGAAAGAGUGGUACAUGGUGGGAUGAGCAUCUUUCUGAAGAAAAUGUCCCAUUCAUUAAGCAGUUGGUCUCUGAUGAAGAUAAAGCCCAAUUAGCAAGUAAACUGUGUCCUCUGAAAGAUGAACCAUGGCCUAUACAUCCUUGGGAACCAGGUUCCUUUAGAGUUGGUCUUAUUGCCUUGAAGCUGGGCAUGAUGCCUUUAUGGACCAAGGAUGGUCAAAAGCAUGUGGUCACAUUACUUCAGGUACAAGACUGUCAUGUCUUAAAAUAUACGU
rnacentral:lncRNA from 1 species